GUUUGAUCACCUGAUUGACCCCCAACUGGUGUCAUAUUGAAUGCUUUAAAAAGCUUGAAAUAAAUGAUUAAUAAUGGCACUUGGAGAACUAAUUGAUAUUUAAGAAUAAAAUUAGAUAUUAAAUGAGGAGAAAUAAAAAGAAUAAUGAAAAAUCAGCCAGAAAAGUGAGGUUAGGAGAGACAAAAUUGGAAAAUGGUUUGAAAAUUGUAAAAUAAUCAUUGAAGUUCACUUACUGACUCGUCCAACUAGCCCCUAAAAAUCGAAAAUUCCAAGGCAAAUGGAAGGGUUUGUCAUCGUAAAUUGGUCGUUUGAAAGGCUAUCAAGAUUCAAUUAAUUGGAAGAUCAUUAUUCAGAGGCAACUCCAGCGAUGGCUGCCCCCAGUGCAGCAUCACCAGAGUGUCCAAGCUCAAGGGGGAGUUUAUACCAGUGUUGAACCUCCUUCUGGAGAACUGGAUUACGUACCAAACCCGAUCCAUUCCCCACAAUCUUCUUUAUCCCUUUUUUCUUGAGGACCUCCUGGGACAUCAUCCUAGGGAAAAAUCGAAUUAAAAGAUGGUGAAUCCAUCAGCUGAUGGUAUUGAUCAAUUUUUAGGUUCCUCAUGAUUUUCACAACCCACCCAUGGAGAUUCUGAAUGACUCCGGAGCACAGAGACCUGAAGACCGUCCCCAGUUGGAGGGUGUCAAGGCUGAUCCCUGAGACACUAGCUGUCUUGUGAGGAUCGUGACGUUCACCCAGGAGAAGAGGCUCGAUUCUCAUAGAACUCACUGCCGAGUCCUCCUGGCCGAGAGAUAUCAACUUCUCCCAGACUUUUGCUGUUUAAAAUGAAAUAAUUAUUUCUAUUUUUGUUCCUUCAAUUAUUUUGUUGUUAGAAAAUUAUAAAAGUAGAGAGAGAAACAUUUAAAAAUAGUGAUGAGGAAUUUCUAUGGAAAAUUAGUCUAUUGAAAAUGUUAUAAAUAAAUUUCUAGCCAACAA